rnacentral:rRNA from 1 species
GACGAACGCUGGCGGCGUGCCUAAUACAUGCCAGUCGUGCGGACCUUGUUGAAAGCGUGCUUUUAAAAGGUUAGCGGCGGACGGGUGAGUAACACGUGGGCAACCUGCCUGUAAGACUGGGAUAACGCCGGGAAACCGGGGCUAAUACCAGAUCGUUUUUUCCUCCGCAUGGAGGAAAAAGGAAAGGCGGCUUCGGCUGCCACUUACAGAUGGGCCCGCGGCGGAUUAGCUAGUUGGCGGGGUAAUGGCCCACCAAGGCAACGAUGCGUAGCCGACCUGAGAGGGUGAUCGGCCACAUUGGGACUGAGACACGGCCCAAACUCCUACGGGAGGCAGCAGUAGGGAAUCUUCCGCAAUGGACGAAAGUCUGACGGAGCAACGCCGCGUGAGUGAAGAAGGCCUUCGGGUCGUAAAACUCUGUUGCCGGGGAAGAACAAGUGCCGUUCGAACAGGGCGGCGCCUUGACGGUACCCGGCCAGAAAGCCACGGCUAACUACGUG